CUUGUUCUUUCAGUCUGAUCUUUUUUCCCAUCUUGGCAUAAUAAGGCUUCUGUGUCUUCAUCCUUCAGCGGAAAAGCCCGUCGUUCCCACCACAAAGACUGAAAGAGAAAACAUGUUCAAAUUGACACCAUCCCUGACCUAUGGUUGAAACUUGAAUGUUGACACAACUGAAUUUUAUCCUAUUUGAUUAAAAAAUAUUUGAAAUGAAUAAAACUUCAAAUGUGUGUAUGUCUGAGACUAUUUCAUUGGAGAAAGUCAGUUCCUGUUAAUAUAUGCUAAAAUGUAUUACAUAAUGACUUCUGUUUACAUUCCAUUUGGCCAUGACUUAGAUCAGAUAGUCACCCCUACCUGCAAGGAAAGCUAGGAAAUGCAAUCAUUUUGCUGAGUGGUCUAGCACAUUGGAUACAUGUGGAUAGAUACGUGAUUAUAAGAAUGUGAGUCAUUUCCAAAUUUAUUCUAAUUAUAUAACAUGUAUAAACUUAUGGGAACAGUUGCUAUAUCUAGCAUAACAAGAUGCAUUUGUACUUUUGAUUAAAAUUAUUUGCUCUUUUACCAUGUAGUUCAGAAAGGUAUAAGGAACAUUUAUUUGAAAUUACAAAGAAAAAAUGUGCUAAUCUCCCUUUUUCCAUAUAUGGCUAGAGCAUUAUAAAUAAAAAUUAAUAAAAUCUGAAUAUUUACCAUAUAAUUAGUUUUCUCUUGAAAUUUUUCCAAAUCCAGGAAACCCAUUAGCCAAUUUGAAACUAUCCUAAAUAAUUAUGGAGACAAGUGAGGGGCAUCUAGGAAAAGGCCUUUUUGUCCCCCUGCAGAGAAAGGGAAGCCCAGGAGGCUGAAAAGGAAUAGAUGGAGAAAUAAGAGAAAAACCAGGAGAUUCUCGCCAAUAAAAAUGCAAAUGUCUAGAGGAUGUGAACAAUACCAUAUGCUGCAUAAAAUUCAAGUAAAAUCCUGAAAAAUAUCCACUACAUUUUUUAACAUUAACAAACAUUUCAUAUAUGCAAAAGAAAAUAGGAAAGGCAUUAAAUAACUUUU